UUCGCAAUGCCCGAAAGGGUGACGAAGCGACGCCGCGCGCGGGAAGAAGGCCUUCGGGUUGUGAACCGCUGUCGGGAGUUAAGAAAUGUAAGGAUGUUAAUAGCAUCUUUGCUUGACUAAGGCUCCGGAGGAAGCCACGGCUAACUCUGUGCCAGCAGCCGCGGUAAUACAGAGGCGGCAAGCGUUGUUCGGAAUUAUUGGGCGUAAAGAGCACGUAGGCGGCUAUGUAAGUCGGUUGUGAAAGCCUUCCGCUCAACGGGAGAACAGCAUCCGAUACUGCAUGGCUUGAGUGCGGGAGGGGAGAGUGGAACUUCUGGUGGAGCGGUGAAAUGCGUAGAUAUCAGAAGGAACGCCGGCGGCGAAAGCGGCUCUCUGGCCCAUAACUGACGCUGAGUGUGCGAAAGCUAGGGGAGCAAACGGGAUUAGAUACCCCGGUAGUCCUAGCCGUAAACGAUGGGCACUAAGUAGAGGGGUUUU
rnacentral:rRNA from 1 species